GUGACGCCGCUAUAAACCCGCCCCUCGGCCUGCGAGGCCGAACGGGAAGCGCCAGCAGCAGCAACAACAACAACAGCAGCAGCAGUCGUCAGCAGCAACAACAACAACAGCAGCAGAAGCAGCAACAACAACAGCAGCAGCAGUCGUCAGCAGCAGCAACAACAACAACAGCAGUAGCAGCAGAAGCAGCAACAGUAGCAGCAGCAGCAAGAAGCAGCAGCAGGAGGAGCUGCUGCUGCAGGCGGCGGCUUCUUCCCCACUUGUCAAGGCUGGUGGCGGUGGUUGUCGUGGUUUCCUUAUUGCGCUCCAAACCGGGAGUGCCACAGUCCGCGUCCGAGGUCUACGCGAGCCCCGGUCUGACCUUGCUGUUGUGGAAUCGCGUUCAAGUGGCGUUGUCUCCACCAUUGCCCCACUGCGACCAUUGCAGCCGCCCCCUACCCCUCGCGGUAGCAACAACAAUAACAGCGGCUGC